rnacentral:rRNA from 1 species
UACAGAGGUCUCAAGCGUUGUUCGGAUUCAUUGGGCGUAAAGGGCGCGUAGGCGGGCUGUCAAGUCUGGGGUGAAAUCCCACGGCUCAACCGUGGAACUGCCUUAGAUACUGACGGCCUCGAGGGAGAUAGGGGCGAGCGGAACUGUGAGUGGAGCGGUGAAAUGCGUUGAUAUUCACAGGAACUCCGGUGGCGAAGGCGGCUCGCUGGAUCUUUUCUGACGCUGAGGCGCGAAAGCUAGGGGAGCAAACGGG